rnacentral:rRNA from 1 species
UACGUAGGGGGCAAGCGUUGUUCGGAAUUACUGGGCGUAAAGGGGCGCGUAGGCGGCACAGCAAGUCGGGAGUGAAAAGCCCCGGGGGCUCAACCCCCGGAACGGCUUUCGAAACUGCUGAGCUAGAGUACAGAAGGGGCAACCGGAAUUCCCAGUGUAGCGGUGAAAUGCGUAGAUAUUGGGAAGAACACCUGAGGCGAAGGCGGGUUGCUGGGCUGAUACUGACGCUGAGGCGCGAAAAGCCAGGGGGAGCAAACGGGG